GUGGGCUCAGUCACUUCAACAAUCCAACCUCCACCAUGCUGGCCUGAAGACUGAAGGAGGAGGAGGUGGCCCCUAAAAUGACUGAGAUUGAAUUUCCCACCAGUUCAAUGUGUUGGGGACUCAGAGGUGAGAUGGCUAUCUGCAAUGACAAAGCAGCACCUUGGGGCCAGGCUUGCUGUGCUUAGAGAUUUUCCAACAUCAUGGAAUCUGCCUUCCCAAGAUGCUGGCAACACCUGCUACAUCCAGGAGUCCUGGGUUCGCC